AUAAGAGGAUAGUUUUCAAGCCCUAGCUCAAUCAGACACAAAUAUCCCCAUGGACUACAAAAUUAAGAAAACGUGUAAUCAAACAAAUUUAAAACAACGCAGCCCUUGCCAGGUUGAUUAUGUUGAUCAGCACAGAGGUAUAGGACGCACAAGCUAUGCUUGUAUAUCUUUGAACAGUCCCAUUCCAUUUGAAAUGCUCUAGAUCAUUUUUGAUGAAUUGAGCUCUAAAGCAUAUUUUAAAGGAAUUUGUAGAAUGUAAAUGUAUCAUGUCUGUAGAAUCUUCCUGGAAGCUUCAAAGUUCAGCCAACUAAAUUUUAAAAGUGAAGUAUCUUGUACUCUGGUAAUUUUUUUAUCUAUAUUUGAUAUAAAGUUGUAAAAACCCAUUUAAGAGGCACUGUAUACUUCUGUUAUUGUUAUACACUUUGUAGUCAUUGUGAAUAAUGAGUAAAUUAACAUCAAAUGAGUUCUUUGUAAUUAAAACAUAUUUCUAGCCCCACCAAAACUUUAAGCAUGAAUCAGAGGAAUCCUUAAUGAACCAUAAGCUUAAACAAUAUGGUGAAUGAUUAUGCAAAAUUAUGUAUAACUUUUUUAAUAGAUGCAUCGCAGCAUUUCUUCUGCAAUACAACCUGUUUGGAAGGUUGCAAUAAGUGCUAACCUAUUCUUUUCCCUAAGAAUUAUUUGUGGAGCUGAAUUUUUCUCUGCAUUGGUACAAAUACAGGUACUACUGUCAUCUACAGAAAUUCCAAUUCAAAAUAACUUAGUAAUACUGUGUUUAUCCAAGCUUCGUAUGGAUGUGACUAAUGCAUCCAUUGAGUGUCCCAUUGUGUUCAGAGGGGCUCUACACAAGCAUGUGGACUCCCUGCAUUUCAAUUCAGGGGACAGGGUUUUAAAGAGAUGCCUUGAGCACUUGUGACCUUUCAUAAGUGAGCAUAAAAAGUGUAAACUAAUAGCACAUUAAUCAGUUGUGCCAACUUUAAGGAUUUAGGGCCCAGUUCUGCUAAGAUUCAACUUCCAUUGAUGCUAAACACUGAUGCUCAGUACCUUGCAGAUCAGGUGGCUUUAAGUAAAUUGAAGCAUGCUGGCUGGAAAGACACCCAAGUGUAGGUGCCAUAUAAGAGCCAGGUUCAGUAGAUACUGAGUCUGUCAGACUCUGCCAUUGGUGUCCUAACGUGGAAGAUAUGUAUUUGCGUAAGACCUAUAGGAUCAGAACCUUUGUCUUUCAAGAAAGGUAACAGGUGCUUUCUCCUUCAAAGUAAAAUAGGGACAGUAGAUGCAAAUAAUGUAAAAACGGUGUUCAGGUGUCACCGCUGAAAUGUGUGUGAACCCUUCUAGAUGUUCAGGUGUGAUAGGAACUGAUGCACAGCUGUGGGAUCCAGUAUUAGAUCCCAUCACACCUUAUUGCUGGUGCAGGGGGAGCCUGGUAUGGUGAUCCUGGGCUCCCUCUGCACUGGUAGGUAGCAAAUUCCCUCAGCUGCAAAUCCUGUAGCUGAUGAGACUCCCAGCCGGGCAGUGGGUGGUGCACCCCACCUGCAGGGGCCACAGGGGAAUAGCUGCCUUGCUACACAUGCAAAUUAAAGCUGGAUAGAAACCACC